rnacentral:rRNA from 1 species
UGAUGUGGUUUAAUUCGAUGCAACGCGAAAACCUUACCCACCUUUGACAUGGCAGGAAUCCUAAGAGAUUGGGAGUGCUCGAAAGAGAACCUGCACACAGGUGCUGCAUGGCUGUCGUCAGCUCGUGUCGUGAGAUGUUCGGGUUAAGUCCCGCAACGAGCGCAACCCUUGCCAUUAGUUGCUACGAAAGGGCACUCUAAUGGGACUGCCGGUGACAAACCGGGAGGAAGGUGGGGAUGACGUCAAGUCCUCAUGGCCCUUAUAGGUGGGGCUACACACGUCAUACAAUGGCCGGUACAGAGGGUAGCCAACCCGCGAGGGGGAGCCAAUCCCACAAAGACCGGUCGUAGUCCGGAUCGCAGUCUGCAACUCGACUGCGUGAAGUCGGAAUCGCUAGUAAUCGCGGAUCAGCAUGUCGCGGUGAAUACGUUCCCGGGCCUU